CGAGAUAUUCGCGCCGGUAAGGAAGGACCCGUCCUCUCGGCUGUUAACGGGAGCGACAUUCACACUUACGGUAUGCGGACCCCGAACCUAAAUUUCGACUCCCGCCCACUUGGGGGAAGUACA